rnacentral:miRNA from 1 species
AGUCCUGUAAUCCACUCCUGCUCUCCUCCUCCUCCUCUGUGUAGGAACUUGGCGUAGGAGGAGGAGAAGAGGAGGAGUGGAUUACAGGACU